GGGGCGUGGGGAGGCAGG
rnacentral:misc_RNA from 1 species